GACACUUGCGAGUCCCUAGCAAAUACAGACUCUGAGUUGAAGAUUCACAUGUAGAAAGUUUACUGGAACUUUAGGAUCAACAGUUUCAACAUCUGUCUGGUUAAAGGAAAACUGGGUAGAGGAGAAGUGGAGCACUGAUUCAGUUCUGACAAGUGCUUCUGAGGAGCCCAGAGUGAACCCUGGAUUUGAGGCUAGCAAUAUACAGUAUAGUACUCUCCUGAGAUACUGGGCAGUGGCUGUGAGCUGCAAUUUGUAAUCAGCAUCCAAUUGAUGGCACUGAGUUUGUUUAUUUAUGAAUUGAAAAUCACUACACACAUUCUUUUUGUAUUUUAUGGAAAAAAAGGUCUGUCCAACUUCAGUGCUGUGAGUGAUACUGAAUAUAAAGUAAAGAAAAAGGCCAGGAGCUCACUACAAAGUCCACUGUGAGUCUACAUCAGAAAGCCAGAAGGUCUGAACUGGAAGGCUGAAGAGUCUAUGCUACAAGGCUGGUGGUGGACGUCCAAAGGCAAUGGGAAAGACCAGAGCUCCUCCAAAGAAGAAGAGGAAGACUCCUUGUUUCCCUUUUAUUCAAUCUAGGUUACCAGCCUAUUAGUUGGUGCAACCCACAGCCAGGGUGGGUUUUCCCUCUUUAGGUUGCAGCCUACCUGUCAGUCAUCUACAGACAUCCCUAAACUUCAUUGAUCUGCUAGGCAGUUCUCGCUCAAGUCAAGUUGACAUAUCACAAUUCACAAUUACAUACUCCUAAUGUGAUUUCUUAGUUUUGUCAUUGACAUCAAAAUCACACUCCCCAAAAGUAGUUAUUUCAUAGCCACUCUAACCCAUCAAACGUUCAUAACCAGAAUUAGUUUGACUUCCUAGUGAUUAUUUACUUUUU